GUGUUGUUGAACUGAUGAGUCUUCAUGUCUCUUCUCUGACAAACCACUGUAGGGAGCUUAAACACCUCUGAUUCCAACAC
rnacentral:snoRNA from 1 species